CCAAUAGCGUAUAUUAAAGUUGUUGCAGUUAAAAAGCUCGUAGUUGAAUUUCGAGAUCAAUAUGUUGGUCGUGCCAUUGGUACGUACUGGCAUUAUUGGUUUCUCCCUUCUGACGAACCAUGAUGUCAUUAAUUUGGUGUCUUGGGGAAUCAGGACUGUUACUUUGAAAAAAUUAGAGUGUUUAAAGCAGGCACUCGCUUGAAUACAUUAGCAUGGAAUAAUGAAAUAGGACGUUUGAUCCUAUUUUGUUGGUUUCUAGGAUCGACGUAAUGAUUAAUAGGGAUAGUUGGGGGCAUUAGUAUUCAAUUGUCAGAGGUGAAAUUCUUGGAUUUAUUGAAGACUAACUACUGCGAAAGCAUUUGCCAAGGAUGUUUUCAUUAAUCAAGAACGAAAGUUAGGGGAUCGAAGACGAUCAGAUACCGUCGUAGUCUUAACCAUAAACUAUGCCGACUAGGGAUCGGAUGAUGUUAAUUUUUUAAUGACUCAUUCGGCGCCUUACG
rnacentral:rRNA from 1 species